UCCCAUGAGCGGUGGGUGGGGGACCUAAAUGAAAAUGUGGGGACGAUGCUAUUUUCAUUUAGGGCUCCCACCCGCCGCUCAAUCAGUGGGGGCC